UUUCCCACCUCUUAAGCAUGAAAACAGCAUCUGUCUUUGAGGCUCUGCAGAACGUUGGGGAGUAAACAUAUUAAUGCAUUAAAAAAUGACCUUAUUGAAAAGUCAAUCACUUCCAACGAGCACAAUUUUCCACCACAUCAAGCAUUCAGGAGGCCAAGUGCAGGUGUAGAUGGCAAAUGGCAGAUGCUGUGUUCCACAAACCUCCUGUGCCACUUGCAAGACACCAAACUCUGUGAUCUGCUGGCAGAUGAACAGGAAGAGCUUUAAGGCUCUUUGGCUUCUGUUAAGGACAUCUUUUUGAUCCAUUUUCCAGCCUCUGGGGCUGCUCCUGUCCCAGGAGACUGAUAAAGGAGUUCAUGAGCAUAGAAGAAAGGAAAGACCGGAAUAUUCAUGUGCUCCAAACUCCUGGGAACUUGCAAGAGGAGAGGAAAAUCUGAGAUACUUUCUCAGUAGGAUUUCCUUACUAAGCAACAUUUUUCUCUUGCGUGUAGACAACUGGUUCAAAGCAGCACCGACACCUCAUGCCAGGCCCUGCUCUCCUUCCGCUCUGUCGUGGUGCAAACCAUGAGCAGAUGGUGCAGUGCAGUGGAAAAUCAGAUCUCCAAGAAAAUACAGAGCUGAGAAUAAAACAGCCCUCGAGGAGAAAGCUGCGUGGUUUAUUUCAGGAUAAGAUGAAAAACUGAGAUCCUUGGGCAAAAAUUAGACUACUCCUUCAGAGUGGAGUAUUCCACUUCUGUGAACUGCCUCGUUCCUUCCCGACUGAGGAAACAUCCAUCCCCUUCACAGCUGAGGGCUCAUCUCGUUUGUUGUCUUUCAGUUCAUUGAUCUGGUUUCUCCAGGCUCCCACGUGACUGUUCUUUGCUGAACUAACAAGCGUGAUUAUCCCUGAAUUUCCUCUCCUUUCGACUUUCUUGCACGCUGACGACAAACCUUUUCAGAAUUCCUUCCCACUUCGGCUGCAGCCUGACCUGAAUUGCUUCCAUCUUUGUUUAAACCCGCUGGGGCAUGAACAUCCAGCCAAGAUAGCUGCAUCCCUAACGUGUGCCUGUGGUGACCCCCCCUGUGUAAUUCAGAUUCCACCUGAAAUCUGUGGAAUUCUCCUUGAUCCUUCUGACAAGGAACCAAACCCAUUCCACAGGAGGGCACUGAAAUGAGCCUUAGAUGGAUGUAAGACCCCAUCAUCAUCAUUAUUUAUGACAACUCCAUGCACCAGACUUGCUGGGAAAAAUCCAAGAUUCAGCCAGUUACUGAAGCAACAAAGAGGAUUCUGCUGCUCCAAAGACUUGCUACUUGUUGAUGACUUGCCAUCCAGCUUUUUUUUUUUUCCAAAGGGAAAAUGAAUGUGGAGGGUACUUGGAGUCAAUUUUUGGUGGGGGAUAUGCAGUCACUGUCUCUGCUGGUAUCAAUGGCCCUUUCACUGUACUGGGCUUUACUGUACAGAGAACAAAACCAGUUUCCAUGGCAGUGUAAAUACAAAUACGUCCCACACUCCAAAGAGUGACUCACACGUGCUGCAGAGAAGAGAGAAACUUCCCUGUCUUAAUCCGAACACAUCUGGGAGAGGAGGAUGAGAUUAUCUCAGUUUGAAAGUAUUCUAUAAAUAUUGUGUAAACCGAGAUUUGCUCUGAAUAAUUCCAUGCCUUGGCAGAGCUGAAAGACAAAUCCUUUGAAGGUAAAGGAAUAAGACAAGGCCAGUGCCUGUUUGCAGUAGCAAUGUUCAAAUCUAUAAUGAUUUUCUUCUUAAAUAUAGACACAACCUGACAGCUCUGGAAGCCGAUACAAAAUUCUCCAUGAGCGGUUUAUCUCACUC